rnacentral:lncRNA from 1 species
CCAACAAUUUCAACAUCUGCAACUUCACUAUUCAUUUGGAGGCUUGAUCUUUGCCUAUAAAUUGAGGCCUUCACAGCAGUAUGAAGAUCAUCCCCAACACCCCCAGAAGCAAAGUGUUAUUUGCUAGAAAGAGAGAGAAAAAUCUUGUGAGAGAAAACUUCAGUGUGGAAGUUAUACACGAGUGAUAAAAGUGAGUUGAGAGAUAGCCUCUGCGUAGGCAGAUACAAAAUACAGUGUAGUAUUUUUGUUGUACUCCUCCUUUUGAGAUUCUCUAAUAUAUUGGUGUGGGUCCGUGGACGUAGGCAGUUUGGCCGAACCACGUUAAAAAUAUCGGUGUCAUUUUUAUUCUCGUUUCAUAUCGGUCGAUAUCCAAAAUAUUGCGUCACACUAGAUCCCGGGCGGAAUUAGUUGCGUCUAAUUUCCUAACA